rnacentral:rRNA from 1 species
UACGUAGGGACCAAGCGUUGUCCGGAAUCAUUGGGCGUAAAGAGCGUGUAGGCGGCUUGUUAAGUCUUGCGUGAAAUCUCGGGGCUCAACCCCGAGCGGUCGUGAGAAACUGGCAGGCUAGAGUGCGGGAGAGGAGAGUGGAAUUCCUGGUGUAGCGGUGAAAUGCGCAGAUAUCAGGAAGAACACCGAUGGCGAAGGCAGAUCUCUGGGCCGUAACUGACGCUGAGGAGCGAAAGCAUGGGGAGCGAACAGG